UAUCAAAUAUAAAAAGUAUAGAUUAUUGAAAAAGGGCAAAAAAAUCGUGAUUUUUUUUUGAUUU
rnacentral:tRNA from 1 species